AUUGAACGCUGGCGGCAGGCCUAACACAUGCAAGUCGAACGAGUGGCGGACGGGUGAGUAAUGUCUGGGAAACUGCCUGAUGGAGGGGGAUAACUACUGGAAACGGUAGCUAAUACCGCAUACCAUCAGAUGUGCCCAGAUGGGAUUCGCCAGUUGGUGGGGUAACGGCUCACCAAGGCGACGAUCCCUAGCUGGUCUGAGAGGAUGACCAGCCACACUGGAACGAAGACACGGUCCAGACUCCUACGGGAGGCAGCAUUGGGGAAUAUUGCACAAUGGGCGCAAGCCUGAUGCAGCCAUGCCGCGUGUAUGAAGAAGGCCUUCGGGUGGUAAAGUACUUUCAGCGGGGAGGCGUUACCCGCAGAAGAAGCCCCGGCUAACUCCGGGCCAGCCGCCGCGGUCAUUC
rnacentral:rRNA from 1 species